AAGUUAUGGAAAGACGUUAUGUUGCUGUUGCAAUGAUCUCUCCGCUUUUGCUUCUGGAUGUGACUCUAAUUAUCAAGCUUAUAAAGAAAUACAAGCUUAUAAAGUUUUGUUACUUAGCUGAAGACUCUGGAGAUCUCAAUCCAGAUGCUGAUGCUGUCAAGGUUCUGACUGAAGAUUAUGAAGUUUUGUUACUUAGCUGAAGACUCUAAAGAUCUCCAGUCAGACGUUAACGUGGUCAAGGUUCUGACUGAAGAUUCUGAUUUCAACUUUGUGUUUUUUCUCUUCAUGCUUCAUCAAUUUUUCAUCAGAAUCCAAUGAAUUUGAAGAUAAGAUCAAAGUGAAUACAUGAAUAAAUAGU
rnacentral:lncRNA from 1 species